rnacentral:lncRNA from 1 species
CCUAUCUAUCCAGCUGGUGAUGCCAUCAGAGAAGGCUACGAGGUUUGUCAAGCACAACAUAAGGUCAAAAUAUAAGGUCAAAACAAUACAAAAAUAACAAACCAGAAGGUUCCAGAAAAGCAAUGUUGGCAAAAUGUACUAUCUGAUUUCCAGUGGCUCUAUGCUACCAGAAGCUUAGAGAUAAAUAGUUGUCUGUUCUCAAUUCAAUAGAGAAGAAAAAGCUCCUUCAACAUCCCACACCAGGAAAGAAAGAAAGGAAAAGAAAUCUGGAGCUGCUACAGUUUUUUGUAAAAUUAGUUGUUCUCAAUUCAGCUAUUUAUUGGAAAUAUUAAACUUGAAUGUUUUCCUGUGUCUGGUGCAAAAAUAAAGUUUAAUGUCUAGAGAAAGGAGGGCAUUCUAAUUGUGUUAGAAGGAAUUAGAAUUAGUUCCUGCUUAAUAUUCAUUUUACCUAAUUAACUUCUUACUAACUGUCCUCACCAGAGCUGUUGGCAUUAACCCCCUGAAUGGGUCAGAAGAGAUACGGAUAAACUGAAGGCAAAUGAGGAGAGCAGAUUGCUCAUGGUGUGCUGAAUGCUUUGAUGUGGCAAGGUACUGCAGUUCUUUAUGGCUCCAAAGCACUACAUGCAUCGUAUGGACACAGAUGUCCUGAGUGUUUCACCUCAUUCACCAAACAGCAGGAAGGUUACGCACAGUAGAAAACAUCUUCUUCCAGAAGACCUUGAAAAACUGUUGGAAUGAUGACAUGUCCUACAGAAGCUGUGCUGGUAAUUCAAAUGUUUUUGAUAUGUGAUUCCUAAUUUUAGAAGUUGUGCUUGAUUUGCUUUGCUGCGGUGUUCCAGGUAGGACCUGCAGUUCAUGAAAUUGCAUGAACUACGAAUGUGAGUAAGGUGUGUUCAUCAGAAAAGGUUCAUUUACUGUUUCUUAGCAGAGCAGAGCUGGUCCAACAUCUCACCAAUCUGUCUGUUGUCUACCUUCCUUCAAUUCCUUCAGUUCUUUCAGAAGUACUCUCUGGUUAAAGUGUGGUGCUCCAGAACAGUAGUCCAUGUAAGAUUCCACAGAGCAGGGAUAAUAUCCAAUUUCUUGUUUUCCUGAAUAUAACUUCUGUUAAUGCUGGAGUGAAAGGCAACAAAAACGGUACAUCUUUAGUAAAUCUUAUGAUGUUACCAUGAAACUGUGGCUGCUAUGAACCAAGUUUUAAAGUGCCCUUCUCCUUUAAGGCAAAAGGGGAAAAGAUACCCAACCUGUUUCUACUCCAUUGCGACUGUUUUACAAACAAUGCUUUGCUUUGAACACGUAUUGUGAAAAAAUUGAAUAGUGUUAACAAUUUGAAUAUUGUGAAUAUUCUGAUAGAGUAUGCUAAUUAAAAGUCAAUUUAGUUACGUGUUUAAGAGGAAUCUGAUCUCUAUAAAUCAUUGUCCAUAGACAUUUCUACUUCUCACCCAUCCCUGGUGGCAUAUUAUUCAAGGAGUGCAAAUGUGUUCUUUAAAGUACUGAGAAAAAGUGAAAAAUAUGUUUUCUCCCCUUUUCUAUUACUGUCACCUUCAUAGCAGUUUCCUGGUUGACCAACCCUGCUCUCUGACAGUCUCUGUCACGGAAACUGGAAUGGAAUUUCAGAGCUGAUGCAGGCUGUGAGAUGGUAAUUGAGUGUGUGACUGAGCUUUUGGAAUAUGAUGUAUCAGGUCCGUAGUGC